rnacentral:rRNA from 1 species
GAUGAACGCUAGCGAUAGGCUUAACACAUGCAAGUCGAGGGGCAGCACAAGGUAGCUUGCUAUCUGGGUGGCGACCGGCGCACGGGUGCGUAACGCGUAUGCAACUUGCCCUAUACAGGAGGAUAACCCGUCGAAAGACGGACUAAUACUGCGUAUGCUCACAACUUGGCAUCAAGUGGUGAGGAAAGAAAUUCGGUAUAGGAUAGGCAUGCGUCCCAUUAGCUUGUUGGUGAGGUAACGGCUCACCAAGGCAACGAUGGGUAGGGGAACUGAGAGGUUUAUCCCCCAAACUGGUACUGAGACACGGACCAGACUCCUACGGGAGGCAGCAGUGAGGAAUAGUGGUCAAUGGGCGCGAGCCUGAACCAGCCAAGUCGCGUGAAGGAUGACUGUCUUAUGGAUUGUAAACUUCUUUUAUACGGGAAUAACAAGAGUCACGUGUGACUCCCUGCAUGUACCGUAUGAAUAAGCAUCGGCUAACUCCGUG